GUGAGGUAGUGGCUCACCAAGGCGACGACGGGUAGCCGGCCUGAGAGGGCGACCGGCCACACUGGGACUGAGACACGGCCCAGACUCCUACGGGAGGCAGCAGUGGGGAAUAUUGCACAAUGGGCGAAAGCCUGAUGCAGCGACGCCGCGUGAGGGAUGACGGCCUUCGGGUUGUAAACCUCUUUCAGCAGGGAAGAAGCGAAAGUGACGGUACCUGCAGAAGAAGCGCCGGCUAACUACGUGCCAGCAGCCGCGGUAAUACGUAGGGCGCAAGCGUUGUCCGGAAUUAUUGGGCGUAAAGAGCUCGUAGGCGGCUUGUCACGUCGGUUGUGAAAGCCCGGGGCUUAACCCCGGGUCUGCAGUCGAUACGGGCAGGCUAGAGUUCGGUAGGGGAGAUCGGAAUUCCUGGUGUAGCGGUGAAAUGCGCAGAUAUCAGGAGGAACACCGGUGGCGAAGGCGGAUCUCUGGGCCGAUACUGACGCUGAGGAGCGAAAGCGUGGGGAGCGAACAGGAUUAGAUACCCUGGUAGUCCACGCCGUAAACGGUGGGCACUAGGUGUGGGCAACAUUCCACGUUGUCCGUGCCGCAGCUAACGCAUUGAGUG
rnacentral:rRNA from 1 species